UUUCCGUAGGUGAACCUGCGGAAGGAUCAUUAACACGUUUUCCAACGUAUUUUGACCCAUUCUAUUUUCCGUGAACAACAACAAAACCGGCUUCUCUGCCCUUGGUUUUUUGAACUUCGGCGUGGAGGCGUUCUUUUCUACUUGGUAUGCACUUCGGUGUGUGCCGGUGUCUUGAACGUUUAGCCAACCAAACCCCAAACCCUUAAAUCUAAUUGCUCUGAAACUAAAAGUUGAUGGAAACAUCAACGAGUUGAAACUAAACAACAACUCUUAACAACGGAUAUCUUGGUUCUCGCAUCGAUGAAGAACGCAGC
rnacentral:misc_RNA from 1 species